rnacentral:sRNA from 1 species
UAUGUGGGACUGGUCCACGACUGCGAGUU